GGAGCCUGAAGCUAAGUGGUCAAAGGGGUUGGCUGAGACCCAAAAGGUUGUUGGUUCUAACCCAGGGCUACCA